rnacentral:rRNA from 1 species
GACGAACCGUGCGAACGUUGUUCGGAUUCACUGGGCUUAAAGGGCGCGUAGGCGGGCGGUCAAGUCUGAGGUGAAAUCUUUCGGCUCAACCGGAAAAGUGCCUCGGAUACUGACUCCCUCGAGGGGGGUAGGGGCAUGUGGAACUUCCGGUGGAGCGGUGAAAUGCGUAGAUAUCGGAAGGAACGCCGGUGGCGAAAGCGACGUGCUGGACCCCUUCUGACGCUGAGGCGCGAAAGCCAGGGGAGCAAACGGG